GGUUCCAUCAAGGUUGUUCUCUGCAAUUCUUAUCACUGGUGGGGAAGUUAGUGAUACAUUAAGAUUCAUGUCAUCGUUUGGAUACUUCUUGUAUAGUUGAGGAUAAACAAAUCUCCAUGUUGCAGUGUUUUAAAGAGGGUUUGAUUGGAAAAUCUAUCCACUAUCCAGUGCAUAUAACCUGCAUUGAAGUAUACUACCACAGCAGUAUUAAAUACAUUUUCAUGUAAUGAAA
rnacentral:misc_RNA from 1 species